UCGGGAAUUUUGGGCAAUGGGCGAAAGCCUGACCCAGCAACGCCGCGUGAAGGAUGAAGUCUCUCGGGAUGUAAACUUCGUAAGAAUAGGAAGAAUAAAUGACGGUACUAUUUGUAAGGUCCGGCUAACUACGUGCCAGCAGCCGCGGUAAUACGUAGGGACCAAGCGUUGUUCGGAUUUACUGGGCGUAAAGGGCGCGUAGGCGGCGUGGUAAGUCACUUGUGAAAUCUCCGAGCUUAACUCGGAACGGUCAAGUGAUACUGCUGUGCUAGAGUACAGAAGGGGCAAUCGGAAUUCUUGGUGUAGCGGUGAAAUGCGUAGAUAUCGGAAGGAACAUCGGUGGCGAAGGCGUCUACCUGGCCUAAUACUGACACUGAGGCACGAAAGCGUGGGGAGCAAACAGGAUUAGAUACCCUAGUAGUCCCUGAGCGGGCUGGCAAGGCGCAU
rnacentral:rRNA from 1 species